AUGCUCAGGUUCCUCCGCAUGCGCAUUAAUUUUUCGCCUUUUACUAAAGAUUACCGUGCGGAGGGGCAUUUCAAUGAGCUUAACGCUCCAUUUUUUGUGAGGCCUUGCCCGUUUGGGCGAGG
rnacentral:snRNA from 1 species